GCUAAGGAAAGUGGCAGUCACACAGGAGGGCUGGAAGAGGACGUGGUCUUGAUUGAGGGAAAGAGGAGGAAGUGUUGGGUAGACAAGCGUCUUUUAGGGUUUAAAGCUUUGACUCAUCAAGGAGACUUCGUACAGAAGACAGGCCCUCUAAACAGACCUAUCCUCAAAGAAAUCGAGUCAGUCUGUGUUUUUGUAUUUGGACGCAGAAAAUCUCAUUAUAAAAAGGGAGGUGGGGGAAAGACCCAACCGUGGUCUUGAGGUUCCAUGCCUGCUUUUCAAAUUCUGCUCCUCUGAACUUAGCCAUUUUCCUGUGGAUUCAAUUUAAAAAACUGGCACAUUUGUUGAGAGGUGAUUCUGAGUGCAAAAAUGCCCCCUUUGGACGCAAACAGAAAGCUUUGAGAAGCCACAGAAAGUUGAGGGUAGGGGUUGGGUGAAAUAAUAUGAUAGAAUGCUAUUUUAUUUCUUCAUCCAUAUGCUAUAUCUAAUAUGGGCCAUUCAUACUUGCACUAUGGUUGCCAUCAUCAUCAUCAUCAUAAUCAAGAAUAAACAUUUAUUUAUACAUAAACAA